CGUUUUAGUGGCGGACGGGUGAGUAACGCGUGGGUAACCUGCCUCACACUGGGGGAUAACACUUAGAAAUAGGUGCUAAUACCGCAUAAGCGCACGGGACUGCAUGGUCUUGUGUGAAAAACUCCGGUGGUGUGAGAUGGACCCGCGUCUGAUUAGCUGGUUGGCGGGGUAACGGCCCACCAAGGCGACGAUCAGUAGCCGGCCUGAGAGGGUGGACGGCCACAUUGGGACUGAGACACGGCCCAAACUCCUACGGGAGGCAGCAG
rnacentral:rRNA from 1 species